rnacentral:misc_RNA from 1 species
GAUGAAGAACGUAGCAAAAUGCGAUCAGUAAUGUGAAUUGCAGAAUUCAGUGAAUCAUCGAAUCUUUGAACGCACAUUGCGCCCGCCAGUAUUCUGGCGGGCAUGCCUGUUCGAGCGUCAUUUCAACCCUCAAGCACAGCUUGGUGUUGGGACUCGCGUUAAUUCGCGUUCCCCAAAUUGAUUGGCGGUCACGUCGAGCUUCCAUAGCGUAGUAGUAAAACCCUCGUUACUGGUAAUCGUCGCGGCCACGCCGUUAAACCCCAACUUCUGAAUGUUGACCUCGGAUCAGGUAGGAAUACCCGCUGAACUUAAGCAUAUCAAUAAGCGGAGGA